GACGAACGCUGGCGGCGUGCCUAAUACAUGCAAGUCGAGCGGAUUUGUUCCUUCGGGGACAAGUUAGCGGCGGACGGGUGAGUAACACGUAGGUAACCUGCCUAUAAGACUGGGAUAACUAUCGGAAACGAUAGCUAAGACCGGAUAACUGGUUUUCUCGCAUGAGAGAACUAUGAAACACGGAGCAAUCUGUGACUUAUAGAUGGGCCUGCGGCGCAUUAGCUAGUUGGAGGGUAAUGGCCUACCAAGGCGACGAUGCGUAGCCGACCUGAGAGGGUGACCGGCACACUGGGACUGAGACACGGCCAGACUCCUACGGGAGCAGCAGUAGGGAAUCUUCCGCAAUGGACGCAAGUCUGACGGAGCAACGCCGCGUGAGUGAUGAAGGUUUUCGGAUCGUAAAGCUCUGUUGCCCUAGACGAACAGCAUGAGGAGUAACUGCCUUGUGUGUGACGGUAUAGGAGAAGAAAG
rnacentral:rRNA from 1 species